UGAAGAGUUUGAUCAUGGCUCAGAUUGAACGCUGGCGGCAGGCCUAACACAUGCAAGUCGAACGGUAACAGGAAGCAGCUUGCUGCUUUGCUGACGAGUGGCGGACGGGUGAGUAAUGUCUGGGAAACUGCCUGAUGGAGGGGGAUAACUACUGGAAACGGUGGCUAAUACCGCAUAACGUCGCAAGACCAAAGAGGGGGACCUUCGGGCCUCUUGCCAUCAGAUGUGCCCAGAUGGGAUUAGCUUGUUGGUGAGGUAACGGCUCACCAAGGCGACGAUCCCUAGCUGGUCUGAGAGGAUGACCAGCCACACUGGAACUGAGACACGGUCCAGACUCCUACGGGAGGCAGCAGUGGGGAAUAUUGCACAAUGGGCGCAAGCCUGAUGCAGCCAUGCCGCGUGUAUGAAGAAGGCCUUCGGGUUGUAAAGUACUUUCAGCGGGGAGGAAGGUGUUGUGGUUAAUAACCGCAGCAAUUGACGUUACCCGCAGAAGAAGCACCGGCUAACUCCGUGCCAGCAGCCGCGGUAAUACGGAGGGUGCAAGCGUUAAUCGGAAUUACUGGGCGUAAAGCGCACGCAGGCGGUCUGUCAAGUCGGAUGUGAAAUCCCCGGGCUCAACCUGGGAACUGCAUUCGAAACUGGCAGGCUUGAGUCUUGUAGAGGGGGGUAGAAUUCCAGGUGUAGCGGUGAAAUGCGUAGAGAUCUGGAGGAAUACCGGUGGCGAAGGCGGCCCCCUGGACAAAGACUGACGCUCAGGUGCGAAAGCGUGGGGAGCAAACAGGAUUAGAUACCCUGGUAGUCCACGCCGUAAACGAUGUCUACUUGGAGGUUGUGCCCUUGAGGCGUGGCUUCCGGAGCUAACGCGUUAAGUAGACCGCCUGGGGAGUACGGCCGCAAGGUUAAAACUCAAAUGAAUUGACGGGGGCCCGCACAAGCGGUGGAGCAUGUGGUUUAAUUCGAUGCAACGCGAAGAACCUUACCUGGUCUUGACAUCCACAGAACUUUCCAGAGAUGGAUUGGUGCCUUCGGGAACUGUGAGACA
rnacentral:rRNA from 1 species